rnacentral:lncRNA from 1 species
AUGCAACCGUCUGAUUUGCCAGGGUCUGUCCUGGUUUUAGCACUGAAACUCUCCGACCUGGUAACCCCCUAUUGGCAACAGGCCACAUGGAUCCCCCAGGAGGGGAGGCAACGUGGGUCUGAGUCCAGAUUCCUGGAUUUUCUCUUUCUCAGCAGGAAAGCAAAGGCAAGGGGAACUAGAAAGGUGGGGCAGGGACGGAGCCUGGAAAGUGGCGGAGGAAGACCUGGGAGGGGUGGAGGCAGGAAGAUAGGGUGUCUGGGGCAGAGGUUCCGAGCCAGACCCCUGGGUCUUGGGACCUGCCUGCUGCCCUCCCUUCCGCGGGCUCUGUCUCUGGGAGAGUUGAGGGAAGAGGACGCAGCGGUCGGGCUCCUGAGGAGGGAGCGGAAGGUUGUCAGAAGCACCCCUCACUCCCCGCUCCCAAACCCUGCAGCCGAGGUCCGUUUAGAUGAGAACGUGUGCCCUGCAGGGCAGUGGCGGUUGGCCCUGCGUCGACAGGGUUCACAUUUCAGAGCGAGCACCUCUCCUCCCAGGUCCACCUGCAGCGGGGCGGGUCCCCGGGAACCAACAAGGAACAGGCUUGCUGUGGACCAGCACUGCUCGAUGGGUUCAAGGCGUCCUUGUCUGCUAAACAGGAAGGCAUGUGUGAUUCUGGCCUCCAGGUGGCUGAGUCCCAGCUAAGAGCCGAGGCAGCCCUGGGCUGUACAGAACCGACAGCAGGGGGUCCUCUGCUUCCUGAAAUGCACAUCUGCCCCAUAGCCAGCCUCCCGCCUUAGGAAAAGCAGCCGGGCUUGUCCCCCAAGCCCACGCAGGCUGUGUCUGUUACUUGCAUCUGGGAUGCCGUGGGGAGUGUGGUACCCAAAGGGUAAGGAGUGUCACCUCGCCUUGGCCAUGUGUGACUCUGGAACUUAAGGACUUCUGUGUCAGAAGAAAGGCACCCCUCUUUGGAACAUUUGCACCUGCAGAACCAGACCCGGGCCCCAGGAUCACGGAAUCCACCGGGGUCAGUAUGAAAUGACCACAGACCUUGCGACCACCAUGGGCCAGCUCCAAUAUGACAAGGCCAUCUGCUGAUGGGCCACAGGCGUUGCCUGCAGAAGGACGCCCAAGGCAACUUGGGUGGAGACAUGGCCAGCUGUGUGACAUUAUAGGGUUUCCAGACCUGGGACCAGGAAGCAGCCACAAGGCUUCCUUCCCUCCAACCAAAGUUCUCAGGGUGCAAAAGGCAGCCUCGCCAACCGGCCUGGCCAAUCCCAUGCUGAGCCCAGCCCUGUGCCUGAUCCGUCAUCAAGGGCAACCCAGCUGGUGUUUCAGGAAGAACCCAGCCUUCAAAGUUGACUUCAAAUUGCUAUGAAUCACCCUAUCUGAUGCAAAUGUGGGCUUGGGUAGACUCGGAGAUAGCUGAUUGCCUCAGAUUAAUCCACAGUUGCCUCGGCAGGUAAUUUACUUCUGGGAGUUUCAGGGACUAAGAAGAACAAGGCAUUUGCAUAAAUAGACUAAACUCAGAGUCCAGGCAGCCAGCCGGUUCUCUGACUGGCAGCUCCUGGUGACAGAGGACUCCCAUGAUUCUGGACCCCACCCACCUAUCCAUAUCCCAUACGUGAAAAGCAUCCUUGAAGUCCGGCCAUGGUCCCCAGCCACUGCCCCUGAUAAGUGGGUGCUCCACCGCAAUGCCCCUCAGCAGGUGGUCUGUCUCUCCACAUUUCCGUGACUUUUGCUGCAACCAAAUUCUUUCUUGCCCUGGGUAGCGAUCCACCAUCAUGGCUCCAGUCACCCUCCAGGUCAACUGGCUUUGUCCUGGGAUGUUCCUUCAUGCGUUUGAAGUGUUCCCUGGCUUCUCUGUGCAGACCAAAGCCCUGGACUUCCUAAUACAGCAGGGUUCUGGAACGCUCCACCAUCUGGUCAGCCUCCUCCAGGCUUCCUUUCCUUACAGCCUUCCUCUGAGAAUGUGGCAGCCAUACCAGGGGUGGGCUCACCAGUAUCACCUCCCUUGUUUCAGCCACUGUACUCCUAUUAAUAUGACCUGGCCUUUUGGACAGCUCAACCGCAUGGUGUCUCGUAAUAAGAUUUAGAGUUAACUAAACACGCCCUUUGUAAAAUGGGCACUGUUUGGCCUCCUUUCUCCCAGCUGGUAGCUGUUCUGUUGAGGUUUGGAGCUAAAUACUACACUUAGUAUUUAUUUCUGUGUGUGUGUGUGUGUGUGUGUGUGUGUGUGUGUAUUUGUAUUUUUACGCCCACACCCUUGGCAUAUGGAGGCUCCCAGGCUAGGGGCCGAGUCAGAGCUGUAGCUGCCAGCCUACACCACAGCUCACAGCAACGCCAGAUCCUUAACCCACUGAGCGAGGCCAGGGAGCGAACCCUCAACGUCAUGGUUCCUCGUCAGAUUCGUUUCCACUGCACCACAACGGGAACUCCCUAUUCCUGUUAUAUAUUGUCGUUUUAAUUUGACCUGUCCUUCCGUCCCUGUCACUCACAGUAAUUUUCUGCCAUUUGGAAACCUGUUACAAACGCCUUCGGUGGCUUGACCCAGGUUAUUAUUUAAAAAGCAUUUUCUGUUAUGGAUGCGGUUAAUCAUUACAGUCAGCAGCUUGCUUUUCUCUACCUUUUUUCAAAAGGCAAUAUGCUAAUGGCUUUGCUAAAAUAUCUUAAAAUGUUAGCGCCGGAAGAGAUGCUAAGGACAUGUGCUUCAAUUCCUUCAUUUGACGGAGGAGGGAACUGAGGCAGAGGGGUGCCAGGGACCAUGGAGACCUCCGAUCUGUGGCAGAGCCAGGCGCUGUGACUCAAAUAUUCCAACCCAGGUAUCCUUUGGAUAUUUGUGCAGAAAAACAAAAAAAAAAAAGAUGAUGGGCAUAUGGCACCAUGUCUACUGGAGGAUUCCAAGAGCAGACAACAGAAUCUUGGGGAGGAGGAGCUUGGUGGCUUAAAAGCCACAGCUGCCCAUCAGCUGAUGAAUAAACACCACGUGCUCUGGCCUUUUCGAGGCA